AGCUGAUUAAGAGAGCAUAUAAUCAGUUUAUGAGAAUGCAAAUUGACAUAAUAUUUAGGAUGAAAACAAUUGGAACCAAUAAAGAAACCAAUGAUGUGUGAAUUUACAUAUUAUCCAAAAUUAUAAAAAAGAGUGUUGUUGUUAUAGAGUUACCAAAAAAGGAUUGAUACUCAUAUUUACAUCAAAUGAAAUCAAGCAAAGAAGUAGCAUCGGUGAGUGAAUAUAAUCUAGUCUAGGAUUAGAGUUAAGGUGAUCUGUUGAAAGUGCGGAUCAUGAACACCAAAUCUUUAUUUUGGAACGCUUUGAACGUGCAUAUUUUUAGGUGGCUUCUCUAGAUCAAAAAUUAACUUAUCAUCUACCUCUAACAUCUGUUCUCGGCAAAUUUGAACUAUUGGCCGCCUAAGUAUUUUUUAUAACUGGCUCUCUUUGCCGUUAUCAAGCGACACUUAUACCUUUUUUGAGCUUGUUUUUCGAUAAGUGUGAUUGUUUUCC
rnacentral:lncRNA from 1 species